UACGUAGGGUGCGAGCGUUAAUCGGAAUUAUUGGGCGUAAAGAGCUUGUAGGCGGUUUGUCGCGUCUGCUGUGAAAUCUCAAGGCUCAACCUUGAGCUUGCAGUGGGUACGGGCAGACUAGAGUGUGGUAGGGGAGACUGGAAUUCCUGGUGUAGCGGUGAAAUGCGCAGAUAUCAGGAGGAACACCGAUGGCGAAGGCAGGUCUCUGGGCCACUACUGACGCUGAGAAGCGAAAGCAUGGGGAGCGAACAGG
rnacentral:rRNA from 1 species